UCGAUCUUGCUCCAAUAAGAUAAAUAAUUCAACAUCGAGGUCAUAAUCUUUUUCUUUAAUUUGGGCUUUCAGAAAAAAUUAUGCUGUUAUCCCUACGGUAGCUUAAUUUAUUUCUAGUUUAGAGAUAGAAGCAAAAAAAAUAAAAAGAAAUGGUUUUUUACCGCCCCAGUUCAACAAAAGUUAAGUUCGAUAGGGUCUUGUCGUCCUUCUUUUUUAUACAAGCCUUUUUACUUGUAAGUAAAAUUUAAAUAGAAAAGGUAAUAAAGAUAUUUAUAUGUCAAACCUUUCAUACUAGCCUUUAAUUAAAAGGCAAAUGAUUAUGCUACCUUAGCACAAGUUAAUUGCGGCUAUUUAAAGAGAUUCAUUGAGCAGGUUUUACUGAAUACUAUUUCNUUCAGAAAUGUUUUUGAUAAACAGACAAUAAAUAAUGGCCGAGUUCAUGAACCUUUGGGUGAAAAGAUGUGUCUGGAAAGAAAUUUAUUGAUAAUUCUUGAGAAAAGAGGUUUACUAAUAAAAUCAUUGUAAUUUUUAAAAGUGGUAUUUCUUUUAAUAUCAUUUUUUAUAAAAAUAUAACAGGUUUAAGAACCAAAGGGACACUACUAAUCCUGAAGAAAGAAGAGAGAGAGAGUGAAAAAUUGUUUAAAAAGCUUAUCCUUUUUAAAAUUUUAGUAUAAAUACUUUAAAAGAAAACCAGAUAUCAUAGAAUGCGAAUGGAAUUUCAUCUCUAUAAUUAUUUUAGUGAGUUUUGUGAAACAAAGUCAAUUUAAAGGAUUAUAGGUCAUUUCGAUUUCGGGACAAUUUCUUAUAAAAAACAAAUUGAUUUUCCCUGAUACUAAAGGUACAAUUCCUUUCUAAAAAACAAAUUGGUUGCAUUCCCUUACGGUGAAAUGGAAAAAGCAGCGAAUGAAAGAAUAAAAAUAAUUAUUUAGACAGGUUUUAUAAAGGGGUUUU
rnacentral:rRNA from 1 species